UCUGGCAUGGUGUUAAUGGCAGCACGCCCGACUGUUAAUCGGUCAGUCCUGGUUCGAGUCCAGGUGCCAGAGCCA
rnacentral:tRNA from 2 species